UCUGACGAGUAGAGUUUAGAA
ensembl:piRNA 21ur-703 ncRNA